rnacentral:rRNA from 1 species
GAUGAACGCUGGCGGCGUGCUUAACACAUGCAAGUCGAACGGGAAUUACUUUAUUGAAACUUCGGUCGAUUUAAUUUAAUUCUAGUGGCGGACGGGUGAGUAACGCGUGGGUAACCUGCCUUGUACAGGGGGAUAACAGUCAGAAAUGACUGCUAAUACCGCAUAAGCGCACAGGACCGCAUGGUCCGGUGUGAAAAACUCCGGUGGUAUAAGAUGGACCCGCGUUGGAUUAGCUUGUUGGUGGGGUAACGGCCCACCAAGGCGACGAUCCAUAGCCGGCCUGAGAGGGUGAACGGCCACAUUGGGACUGAGACACGGCCCAGACUCCUACGGGAGGCAGCAGUGGGGAAUAUUGCACAAUGGGGGAAACCCUGAUGCAGCGACGCCGCGUGAAGGAAGAAGUAUCUCGGUAUGUAAACUUCUAUCAGCAGGAA